AUGUCAGAGGACAAGGGCCGCAGUCGCGGCGGUGCACGGGUGAAAGUCCGGGAGGCGGUCUGCAACGCCGUCGCCGGCGGUUCGGCUGGGGUCAUCUCGGCGACGGUGCUGUGCCCGCUGGACGUGCUCAAGACGCGUCUGCAGGUGUACGGUCUCCCUUCAAACCUUUCCCCUGGCACUGCGCCGCCUGGUAGGAUAAUUCUUUCAGGAUUGCAACACAUACUCAAAACUGAAGGCCUUCCUGGGUUGUAUCGUGGCCUUUCUCCAACAAUAGUAGCACUAUAUCCAACUUGGGCUGUUACAUUUUCAGUUUAUAAUUACGUGAGGGGUCUUCUUCGAUCUCAAGAUACUAAAAAUGGCGAACUGUCCAUACAGGAAAAUAUUUUAGCUGCUUCCUGUGCAGGGAUUGCAACAGCUGUUGCAACUAAUCCAUUAUGGGUUGUGAAGACUAGACUACAAACACAAGGGAUGAGGCCUGGCGUGGUGCCUUACACGAGCGUCUUAUCUGCGUUACGUAGGAUUGCAGCAGAAGAAGGUCUCCGUGGAUUGUACAGUGGUCUUCUUCCUUCUUUAGCUGGGGUUACUCAUGUAGCCAUCCAGUUCCCAGUAUACGAGAAGGCGAAGCUGUACCUUGCCAAAAGAGACAAUACUACAGUUGACAAGCUUGGCCCUGGUCAAGUAGCAAUUUGUUCUUCAGGAUCCAAAAUAGCAGCCUCGCUGAUAACAUACCCUCAUGAGGUUGUACGAUCUAAGUUGCAAGAACAAGGCCGUGUUCCCCAUGGUGCUAUACGGUAUAUAGGUGUAACGGACUGUAUAAAGCAAGUGUUACAGAAGGAGGGGAUUGCUGGAUUCUACCGAGGUUGUGCUACAAAUUUGUUGCGAACAACGCCGAACGCUGUCAUUACUUUUACUAGUUAUGAGAUGAUCAAUCGACUCAUGCACCAACUCCUGUCCUCCUAA
rnacentral:rRNA from 1 species